rnacentral:rRNA from 1 species
UGAGGGAAAGUUGCAAAGAACUUUGAAGAGAGAGUUCAAGAGUACGUGAAACUGCUCGGAGGGAAACGGGUGGAUCCUCGAAGUCCGAGCGGAGCGGGAUUCAGUGGCGGGCGGCGAGGGGUGUCGGAGUCUCGUACCCGUCUCACGGGACGUGGCGCUGGCACCGUUCUCCCGUCAGCCGCGCACUUCUCGCUCCCGACGGACGCCGCAGCCGGUCUGGCGUCGGCAGUGAGGACUGGUCGGGCGAUGGCGUGGGCGUCGGUCUUGCACCGGCGUCCCGAUUCUGUACCGACCGCGUUCCCGGUGCGACGCCGGUCCGAGGGAAGUGUCCGCCUCAGGGCGGACGUGCCGCGGUCUCGCCUGAGAAGGAAAGAGCGGGAGAGUGGUCCGGUUCGACCGACCAGGGCGCCCACCGAAAGCGUGAGCGUCCGGCGAAGGUGUUCCGGAAGGCCGCGACCCACCCGCUGUAGCGAACCGAUGGCUUGCGGCGAGUAGGUCGGUAACCCACCCGACCCGUCUUGAAACACGGACCAAGGAGUCUAACUUGUGCGCGAGUCAGUGGGACUCGAAUAAGCCCACGGGCGCAAUGAAGGUGACUGGGGCGUUCAAUGCCCGUCGCGAUCCCGCAGCCUCGUGCUCGGGCGCAGCGACGACCCGACGGAGAGGUACCACUUUGGGCCACUGUCGGAGUCGGAGCGUACAGGUUGGGACCCGAAAGAUGGUGAACUAUGCCCGGGCAGGUCGAAGCUAGAGGAAACUCUGGUGGAGGACCGCAGCGGUUCUGACGUGCAAAUCGAUCGUCGAACCUAGG